rnacentral:lncRNA from 1 species
UUGUGUGGAUGAGUAUGAGAACAGAGAACAUCACCCCCUAUCAUCUCGGCUGGCACUUCUACUUCACCGAACAUGCAUGAUCAUUUACAAACUUCCACUUCUUGUCGACUCAAUAAUUAAGAAUCGUCCUGUAAAAGUUUGAAGAAAAAGCAAUAGUUCAUAUAUGAACUAAUGUCAUUCAGGAUAACUUUCACAUCCCAUCCCUUCUAUAUAUAUAUAUAUAGAGAGAGAGAGAGAGUAGCAAUAUUUACGUCAUGUAAUUAAUGUGGAAGAUCACUGUUAUCUUGUUUUUCUAUUUAUUUUCAGGUUUUCCUUUCACCACUUUAAUUGAUUUUCUAUAUAAUAAUAGGGAGUUCGGAAAGAGAGGAUUCAAAUAAAUCUCAUGUGCAAAUAUAGCAAUCUGUCCUUUUGCUUUGCACUUUGCUCAUUCGGCUUUGCUGUCCGGCUUUUCCUUUAAGGAUGAAUGCUGCAACAACAAAUAAAAAGGUUAGUAGUGCUCACAUACACGAUGACAUUGCAAUCUUUAUUCUCUCCAAAUUGCCUCUUAAAUCCCUCACACGUUUUACUUGCGUUCAAAAACCAUUGUCUCUUUUAUUCCAAAACCCUUUUUUCAUGAAUAUGUAACACAAUAAUUUCUUAUCCAAACAUGACGAGGUCGACGAUAGUGACACGCAUCUCCUUCUAAAGCAAACGGCACAGGGUUUCCCUUUCAUUACUGGUUGUGCAUUUUUUCGGUGAAGGGUUGGAGGAUAGGGUUAGAUUAGAUUGACCUCCUCCUUUUCAAUAGGAUGUCAUUCAUAUUGAAAUUAUGGGCUUGACUAGUGUUAAUGGCACUCUUUGUCUCUACCAAGACAUUAACGAUGACAUAACAAAUGUACUGUAGAACCCUUCUGCCAUAGAAUUUAAGGACAUUCCUCCUAGCAUACAACCUUACGACAAUAUUGAGUUUAAUUUUCAUCCUCAAGGAUUUGGUUACGACUGUGUUAGUCGGAAGUCUCGAUAUCCUUUAGACUUUGAAGGUAAUUGGGUAUGUGUGCCCGAAAAGGAUAUCCCUUAUGGGAGAUGGAUUAUCUUGCCUCUUUCCGGGAGGGAAAUGUAGUAGAGAUGUAUGACCCUUUUUGGGAGAUAUACAACCUUAGAAGUAAAUCUAGGAGGAAAGUUGAGAGUGUUGAUAUGCCUGUUCCUUAGAAAGAUAGUUCUCGAGUGAACUUGAAUGAAUGGUGCCAUUGGUUGGACCAAAAAUAUGAUAUGGUGUCAUUUGACUUUAACAAUGAGAUGUUCUUUUGUAACAAAUUUACCCUCUUACUCAUCAAACAUAAUGGAAGAAUUGUUGACCAGACACUUGGGGGUGUUCAAUUAGUGUGUUUUCUUUAGUCUGUACUAUUGCUAAGACCGUUUCUUUUCACGUAUAGAUUUUGAAUGAACUCGAUGCCAAGGAAUCAUGGACAAAACUCUUUGUUGUUAGACCUUCAACUCACAUUAUGCGUGCUAUUGGGAUUGGAAUAAAGAGUGCUAUAUUCUACAUAAAAGAAAAUAUGGAGCUAGCCCUGAUUGAUUUAAGUACCCAAACUAGUGAAGAACAUUGGAGUUGAGGUAGAGUCGGUUUGCAUGAAGAUUGUAAUUUCUAAGAAAAACCUUCUUCCUUUUCCUUUUGGAGGAAUGAAUAAUUAAUUUGUUUUUGCAGUCUUAUCUGAAAGCACUCAGCCAUGAGGUUUAUGAACGAUGCCAUCAAGUUAUUUAUAUCUUGUCAGUUGCCCAUAAUUUAUGGUAUCUUGCAUGCAAAUUUACACAUACAACUCAUUGAUACCGGAAGUGACCUAUUAUUGAAAUCUACAUCACCAAAUCAGGCAUGUAAAAUUAGAGAAUUGUCAAGUCAUAUAUAUUAUGGAAUAAUAAUCUGUAUAGCUAGCCUGAGUCCUAUAUAUUAAAAUAUUUUCAGUAGGCCAUAUGCCUUUUCUACUUGUAGAUCAAUAACGUAAGAUGCAUGUAUGAACAUAAAUUUAACCAUUAUAAUGCACAAAUAGAGUAGAGUAAACAAGGAAAUCUAGAUCAAAAAAUUAUGACUCACAUGCAACCGAUUAGUAUUAAAUCAAAACAAUAAUUUAUCCAUGGAGUCUUUUAGACAUUUCAUGUCUCAAACACUCAUAUAACCCUCAUUUUUCCUUUUUUUAAGUUCUUAUUUUGAAUAAGAUGAUCAAUUUGAGAAAAUUAAGAUGGAUAGCCCUCAAAUCUAAAACUUGAGCUUGUUGUAGUAUAUUAAGCUCAGAGCAAUGCUUAGGACUGUUGAAAACUAUGUAAGCACACUUGAAUUCACUUCAAAUUUUAUAUAUAGACGCAAUUGUGAAGUUAAGAUCAUUUUUAUAGACAUAGCAUUGGGAAGCAUGAUUAAAGGGGUUUGAAGUGUGAUGAUUCAAUUGUUUCUCUAUGUCCUUCAGGCAAACCUAAGUUAGAAAAAAUUGAAUCAAGCUAACCAUAUGACAGCAGUUACUUCACACAUUAACCGACAAGCAGAUUGUUAAUGCUACAACAAGAGUAACUCUAACUAGCAGGAAAUUAUUCACAUGACCAUAUUACAAACAAUGGAAACAGAACUAAAACACUUAACAAUACACACACAAAGCAGAACAAUAUACUAAUUAGAAGAGAUUGAAGCAUCAGAAUAAAUACUAAAGUUUCUUUCUACUAUAGUUUAUAAAUCAUGGGCAACUGACAAGAUAUAAAUAACUUGAUAGCAUCGUUCAUAAACGUCAUGGCUGAAUGCUUUGAGUAAGACUGCAAAAACAAAUUAAUCAUUGAUUCCUCCAAAAGGAAAAGGAAGAAGGUUUUGUUAUAAAUUACAAUCUUCUUGCAAACCGACUCUGCCUCAACUCCAAUGUCUUCACUGGUUUGGGUACUAAAAUCAACCAGGGCUAGCUCCAUAUUUCUUUUAUGUAAAAUAUAUCACCCUUUAUUCCAAUCCCAAUAGCACGCAUAAUGCGAGUUGAAGGUCUCCUCCGUAUGUUGAGCCAAAUUAACCCUAAAGUGUUUGAACAUUCAAUUCAAUACAUCGCAACAGAUAGCAGAUUACAACGACUAUCACUAACAAAAUUAGCUGCACUGACACCGUAUGCUAAGAAAAGAACCCAAAAUUUGCUACGUACAAAAUUCUGCAGGUCCACAUCAUUUAGAUGAAAACUACAAGACCUACACAGAGCCUGUCAAGCUACCAAAAAGCUAGAUCAGCGCUAAUACACACAUCCUACCAUAAGACUCACAAAUUUUCCACCUGAACCCAAACAAUACAGGCACAAUUCCAAAGGACUCCAAUCUAAAAUAAAAUGCACACCAAAACUCAAUGAAACUUAAUUGGAGUUUUCCUUUGAAUAAAGCCACUCUCAAAAACUCAAAUUCUGCUAACAACAAUCUUAAAGCAUACUUAUAAAAAUAAACAAGCAAAAAUCUUAUGCUAGGACUAGGGUGAAUUAUUAAGCAUAAGAACUAGCUCAAUGUCUUAAACGAAACUAACAACAAAAUAAAUCUCUAGAGUAAAUUUCAGUAGUUUGUCCCAUUUGUCAUCGUCCCUCAUGAGCAAACAACUGCUUUUACUUCUUAUUUGAGAUUUCUCAUUACCACUAAUUGAAUCUAAACUAUGUGGGAAGUCAUACUCCAGGGAUAACAAUUCUUUAAAUUAUUUAUUAAAAGUAUUGAAAGUGACUUCUGUUCUAUCCCGCAGUGUUGAUUUCUUGAGAAGUAUUGACUCGGAAAUCGAAUUCAUGCACUUCACUACAUGCUAACCUAUUAGAACAUGUUACAUAGAAAUGAACCCUGCCAACCUUGUGUGGAGGAGUACGACAACAAAAAACACCAUCCCCUAUUAUCUCUGCUGGCACUUCUACUUCACCGAACAUGCAUGACCAUUUACAAACUUCCGCUUCUUGUUGACUCUUUAAGAAUUGUCCAAAAAUAAAAACCUGUAAAAGUGUUAUUAGAAAUGUGAUUAGUAGUUAGAAAUUAGUACCUAGCUACUAGUUUGUGAAUGCCUAUAAAUAAACUUGAUGUAAUCACUUGUAUUCAACUUUUUCAUUAGAAUCCUUUUACCAUCAUCAGUACAAUACAAUUUUAGACUUUUCUCUCCUUUUCCAUUGAUACUGUGUUUUCUAAAAAAUGUUUUUUAUAUGUGUGAAUAAAGAAGUAGAUAAUCAGAAUAUAGCUAACAGACGAACAAACCAAUGUAACAUGUAUUACAACAGUUCGCUUCAAUGAGCAUACGAUCAACACUUAUGGCAAGCGAAGAAUAUCAAAAUAGAAUACCUUAAUUUCUGAGUCUUCAAAUGUCCAGCUAGGAGAAAUAUUAAUGAUGCUGAAAAGAUGAUCACAGAAAAUAGAUGGGCACAGUACACAGUCGUCAAAGUGAUCUUGGGAGGGAAUAAUUGUACUGUCGAAUCCAUUUUCGCUUUCAAUUGUAUCCCAAUAAGCAUUAGAAGUAGAUGGCUUGCUCAGUUCUUCCUGUUCGUUGUUAUUAUAACUAAUCUCACAUGUUGAGACUGAAUGAUCACCAUCUAGGAGCCAACUGGUUAAGGAAUUAAAACCAGUUGCCUGUUCAUAUGGAAAGUUGAGCUUUUAGCAAUUAAAUGAGUUUGAUGGAGAGAAUUAAAAAGAUAAAUGUUAAAGAGUUACUCAUACAUAAAGCAAAAGCUUAUAUGAAACAGACAAUAGAUCCUGAUUUAGAACUAAACAAUAUACUAUAUAAACAUGAAAUAAUGCAAACAAAUGAGUAUUAAUUGCAGAUGAAGUAUCAAUUUUACUUGCAGAAAUAGUCGUUGCCUAAAGUACUUAUACAGACCAGUAUCAGAAUGACACAUAUUUCUUUGCCGUAUAACUAAUCCAAUACCUGCCAAUUUCCUACACUUUGUAUAAGACUUCCAUUCUGAUGCUGUUUAGUAAUGGUGCUGCUAAAAGGUUGCCCCAUUACCUCAUAUUGUUGAGAAGUACUAUUUAUUUCCAUGUUAUUGGAUUGUAUCUCAGGAAAAGAAGGCUGAAAAAGCUCGUCAUAACUUGCAGCAGUAUUGUCCAAGAUAUGUUGCCAUGAUGAAUAAUAGCCAAGGAGUUUUGACGGUUCACA